AUGGCUGCUGCUGUCACUGCUACUUUUGCUGUGGAACCCCUGUCCCCAAACUAAUUGCUCCCGAAAAGCAAUGUGCAGAAGACUAAGUAGGAGCUGGAAGAGAAUGAUGAGGAGAAGCUAGAUGAAAGCAUGCCGAAGAGACCAUGGGGCCUAACCAAGAUAUUUGCAUAUAGGGUCCAGUCUGCAGCCACAGCCACUUUUGAUAUCUCCCUUCUUAUGGCUCAAAACAUGCACAGGUUUUCCAGGUCAUCCUUGUGGACUGGGGUUACUUCCAAUAUAAUCCUCGUUUUUCAUGUUGUCUUUGAGGCUGAGAAGUUACAAAUGGAGCAACAGCAGAUACUUCUGGGGCUGACAUGGGGCUGUCAGGAGGCAUGCCAGGGUCUCUAGCUCCACUUCCUGGAAAGAUCUC
rnacentral:lncRNA from 1 species